GUAGGGAAUAUUGGACAAUGGGGGGAACCCUGAUCCAGCCAUGCCGCGUGGAGGAAGACUGCCCUCUGGGUUGUAAACUCCUUUUAUAUGGGAAGAACCGUCCUCAUUAAUGAGUGACCUGACGGUACCAUAGGAAUAAGCACCGGCUAACUACGUGCCAGCAGCCGCGGUAAUACGUAGGGUGCAAGCGUUAAUCGGAAUUACUAGGCGUAAAGCGUGCGCAGGCGGCUUUGUAAGACGGAUGUGAAAGCCCCGGGCUCAACCUGGGAAGUGCGUUCGUGACUGCAAGGCUAGAGUGUGUCAGAGGGAGGUGGAAUUCCGCGUGUAGCAGUGAAAUGCGUAGAGAUGCGGAGGAACACCGAUGGCGAAGGCAGCCUCCUGGGAUAACACUGACGCUCAGGCACGAAAGCGUGGGGAGCAAACAGGAUUAGAUACCCGUGUAGUCC
rnacentral:rRNA from 1 species